rnacentral:rRNA from 1 species
CGGGACGGGGUGGAGUAAUGUCUGGGAAACGUGCCUGAUGGAGGGGGAUAACUACUGGAAACGGUAGCUAAUACCGCAUAACGUCGCAAGACCAAGAGGGGGGACCUUCGGGCCGUCUUGCCAUCGGAUGUGCCCAGAUGGGAUUAGCUAGUAGGUGGGGUAACGGCUCACCUAGGCGACGAUCCCUAGCUGGUCUGAGAGGAUGACCAGCCACACUGGAACUGAGACACGGUCCAG